rnacentral:rRNA from 1 species
UACAGAGGUCUCAAGCGUUUGUUCGGAUUCAUUGGGCGUAAAGGGUGCGUAGGUGGCGCUGUAAGUCGGGUGUGAAAUUUCGGAGCUUAACUCCGAAACUGCAUUCGAUACUGCGGUGCUUGAGGACUGGAGAGGAGACUGGAAUUCCCAGUGUAGCGGUGAAAUGCGUAGAUAUUGGGAGGAACACCAGUGGCGAAGGCGGCUCACUGGACCGGUUCUGACGCUGAGGCGCGAAAGCGUGGGGAGCAAACGGG